AUUGAACGCUGGCGGCAUGCUUUACACAUGCAAGUCGAACGGCAGCGGGGGCUUCGGCCUGCCGGCGAGUGGCGAACGGGUGAGUAAUGCAUCGGAACGUGCCCAUGUCGUGGGGGAUAACGUAUCGAAAGGUACGCUAAUACCGCAUACGUCCUGAGGGAGAAAGCGGGGGAUCUUCGGACCUCGCGCGAUGGGGGCGGCCGAUGUCGGAUUAGCUAGUAGGUGAGGUAAAGGCUCACCUAGGCGACGAUCCGUAGCGGGUCUGAGAGGAUGAUCCGCCACACUGGGACUGAGACACGGCCCAGACUCCUACGGGAGGCAGCAGUGGGGAAUUUUGGACAAUGGGCGAAAGCCUGAUCCAGCCAUGCCGCGUGAGUGAAGAAGGCCUUCGGGUUGUAAAGCUCUUUCGGCCGGGAAGAAAUCGUGUUCUCUAACAUAGGACAUGGAUGACGGUACCGGACUAAGAAGCACCGGCUAACUACGUGCCAGCCGCCGCAGUAACAC
rnacentral:rRNA from 1 species